CUAUCCAUAGAUUUUUCACCAAUGUAAAUCAAUCUAAAAUCAGAUCCGGAGUAAAAUUGACAGCCGCAUCCGGAAGAGUGAGGAGAUAGAUAUCCAAGUAUCCAACAAUCAAUUGGGCCAAAGACAGGAACCUCGCUAACCGUCCGUCAGUGCUGUACGAGGCAGCGGUUGGUUGUAGUAGGGUCAAAAUCAAACAGCAAGACAGAGGGAUCAAUGAAACAUAACUAAGAAAACUGGGAAUCUAAGCACUAAACAGAGUAGAUUCUUGCAAAGCCAGCUCUAAAAGGGAAAUGGGUUUGACUAGCAGGCCUCUAUGUCAAUCCUCUGUGGCGUUCCAAUCCUUGAAUGCGUGUACUGCCUUGGCUGUGCUCGUUGGCUAUGGAAAAAAUGCCUAUACUCUGCUGGUCAU